rnacentral:lncRNA from 1 species
AGAUUGCCUUCCAUGCUUCACGACCACAGAGACUGAGCAAACCUCUGCUUCGGAAAGUCGGGGGCAAGUCCAAGUUUCCCAGGGAGGCCGGCCCUGCCAUGCGGGGUUGGGUUUUCUUGCCUUCUCUUGUGCAGAGUUGGCCAAUCCCUGCCGCCAGGCCUCAGACACUCAGCCCUUUGUGGGCCUUGCACCCACUGCGGUUUUUAAUGUUGUUAUUUUUCAGAGUUAAAAAUCUGCGGUUUUUAAUUGCACCUGAGGAUGCCCCCCUGCUCUGUUCCUAGCUGGUGUUCGACAGGCGGAACGGAAGGAUUGAAGAGCUGACCACAAUACCUCCCAAGCCACUGUGCUUCUUACAGCAUGGCGCCAAUACCCGUCCCUUUGAGAAGUGGAGUCUUUGUUCCCUUCCCUUGAGUUUUGGCAGGACUCUGACUAUGUCAGAGGUAAAUUUAUGUGACUUCCGAGACUGGGUCAUGAAAGACAACACCGGUUCUGCCCAGUUCCUUAGAAUGAAGGAAGGCUGGCACCAUGGUGUGAGGAAGCCGAAGCCACACAGAGGCUGCACGUGGAUGCUCCAGCCAACUGCCCCAGCUGAGGCUCAGCCGCCAGACAUGGGCAUGAAGACAUCUUCAGAACAACUCUGGCCCCAGCCGCCGUGAUGGCAGGAGAGGCUCCCAGAGAGAACCAGCCAACCCCCAGGACUGUGGGACAUAGUAACAAAAUCUUGUUGGGGGUGAUAUUUUACCUAAAGAACAAUGAACAAAAAAUGCUGAUGUGUCA